CAAUAAGCGGAGGAAAAGAAACCAACAGGGAUUGCCUUAGUAACGGCGAGUGAAGCGGCAACAGCUCAAAUUUGAAAUCUGGCCCUUGGGUCCGAAUUGUAAUUUGUAGAGGAUGAUUUUGGUGCGGUAUCUUCCGAGUUCCUUGGAACAGGACGCCUUAGAGGGUGAGAGCCCCGUACGGUUGAAUGCCUAGCCUCUGUAAAUCUCCUUCGACGAGUCGAGUAGUUUGGGAAUGCUGCUCUAAAUGGGAGGUAAAUUUCUUCUAAAGCUAAAUAUUGGCCAGAGACCGAUAGCGCACAAGUAGAGUGAUCGAAAGAUGAAAAGCACUUUGAAAAGAGGGUUAAAUAGCACGUGAAAUUGUUGAAAGGGAAGGAUUUGUGACCAGACUUUUUCUGGGCGGAUCAUCCGGGGUUCUCUCCGGUGCACUUCGCCCAGUAAAGGCCAGCAUCGGUUUUCGGCGUGGGAUAAAAGCAGUAGGAAUGUGGCUCUCUACGGGGAGUGUUAUAGCCUAUUGUAUAAUACCGCGCUGGGGACCGAGGUUCGCGCUUCUGCAAGGAUGCUGGCGUAAUGGUUAUCAAUCACCCGUCUUGAAACACGGACCAAGGAGUCGAACAUUUGUGCGAGUGUUUGGGUGUUAAACCCUCACGCGUAAUGAAAGUGAACGGAGGUGAGAGCCCUUACGGGUGCAUCAUCGACCGAUCCUGAAGUUUUCGGAUGGAUUUGAGUAAGAGCAUAACUGUUCGGACCCGAAAGAUGGUGAACUAUGCGUGGAUAGGGUGAAGCCAGAGGAAACUCUGGUGGAGGCUCGCAGCGGUUCUGACGUGCAAAUCGAUCGUCAAAUCUGCGCAUGGGGGCGAAAGACUAAUCGAACCAUCUAGUAGCUGGUUACCGCCGAA
rnacentral:rRNA from 1 species